rnacentral:lncRNA from 1 species
GUUGGUUUUGUAAAGUAUCCAUAAAAUUAAUGUUAAUUUCUGCUCCAAUUUAUGAAUUAAAAUUACACAUUCUUUUUUUUUUUACAAACUCAGUUUCCUCACUUUCGUUUCCUUUGAAUGCCAAAAAUCUGUACAAGGGAAAAUGGAAUUUCCUCAAACUGGUCAGACUUCAGAUAUGUCAAAUUGGUAAGGAAGGAAAAGAAAAAUUUCCAUCCCCAGCUGAAGUUGAUAACAUAUUUGGUAGGUGUUGAGGAGAGAGGAGGGAUUGUAACAAAGGAAUUUGGUUUUGUCUGAAAAUUAUUAGUCUGGGAUCAUCCUGUAGGUGUAGAACUUUUUUGGCAUUAAGUGCUAAAGUUUAGGGUGAUUCAAAAGUAACCUAACAGUGACUGUUAUCAAAGUCCAUUAAUAAUGGAAAAUAAGUGGAAAAUAAUUUUAAAUUGAAAUUAUG